GAUGAACGCUAGCGGCAGGCUUAACACAUGCGAGUCGAGGGGUAUAGUUCUUCGGAGCUAGAGACCGGCGCACGGGUGCGUAACGCGUAUGCAAUCUACCUUUUGCAGAGGGAUAGCCCAGAGAAAUUUGGAUUAAUACCUCAUAGUAUGUGAGAAUGGCAUCAUUUUCACAUUAAAGUCACAACGGCAAAAGAUGAGCAUGCGUCCCAUUAGCUUGUUGGUAAGGUAACGGCUUACCAAGGCAACGAUGGGUAGGGGUCCUGAGAGGGAGAUCCCCCACACUGGUACUGAGACACGGACCAGACUCCUACGGGAGGCAGCAGUGAGGAAUAUUGGACAAUGGGCGCAAGCCUGAUCCAGCCAUGCCGCGUGCAGGAUGACGGUCCUAUGGAUUGUAAACUGCUUUUGUAUAGGAAGAAACACUGGUUCGUGAACCAGCUUGACGGUACUGUAAGAAUAAGGAUCGGCUAACUCCGUGCCAGCAGCCGCAGUAAUAC
rnacentral:rRNA from 1 species